GGCGGCGUAGCCUAACACAUGCAAGUCGAGCGAAGUAGCUUAUGAAUCGAAAUCUUCGGAUAGAUUCAUAAGCCACUUAGCGGCGGACGGGUGAGUAACGCGUGAGGAACCUGCCUUGUACAAGGGGAUAGCCUCGGGAAACCGGGAUUAAUACCCUAUGAUACUUAAAAUUCACAUGAAUAUUAAGUUAAAGCGAAUUAGCGGUGCAAGAUGGUCUCGCGUCCCAUUAGUUAGUUGGUGAGGUAACGGCUCACCAAGGCCACGAUGGGUAGCCGGCCUGAGAGGGUGAUCGGCCACACUGGAACUGAGACACGGUCCAGACUCCUACGGGAGGCAGCAGUGGGGAAUAUUGCACAAUGGAGGAAACUCUGAUGCAGCGACGUCGCGUGAGUGAUGAAGGUCUUCGGAUCGUAAAACUCUGUCCUAAGGGACGAUAAUGACGGUACCUUAGGAGGAAGCCCCGGCUAACUACGUGCCAGCCGCCGC
rnacentral:rRNA from 1 species